rnacentral:rRNA from 1 species
ACUCAAAUGAAUUGACGGGGGCCCGCACAAGCGGUGGAGCAUGUGGUUUAAUUCGACGCAACGCGCAGAACCUUACCCAGACUUGACAUCCGAGGAACUUUCCCGAAAAGGAGAGGUGCCCGCAAGGGAACCUCGAGACAGGUGCUGCAUGGCUGUCGUCAGCUCGUGUCGUGAGAUGUUGGGUUAAGUCCCGCAACGAGCGCAACCCCCGUCUUCAGUUGCCAGCAUUCAGUUGGGCACUCUGGAGAGACUGCCGGUGUCAAGCCGGAGGAAGGUGGGGAUGACGUCAAGUCCUCAUGGCCUUUAUGUCUGGGGCUACACACGUGCUACAAUGGUCGGUACAAAGGGCAGCAACAGCGCGAGCUCGAGCCAAUCCCAGAAAACCGGCCCCAGUUCGGAUCGAAGUCUGCAACUCGACUUCGUGAAGUCGGAAUCGCUAGUAAUCGCGGAUCAGAACGCCGCGGUGAAUACGUUCCCGGGCCUUGUACACACCGCCCGU